rnacentral:tRNA from 1 species
GUGGCUGUGGCUCAGUGGUAGAGCGCUUGCCCAGCAUUCAUGAGGCACUGGGUUUGAUCCUCAGCACCACA